UUCGAUUUACGGCCGUUUUCAAUAACGUAUCUGAGUUUUCGGAUAGAUAGCUAUCUCCGAAUAUCAGCAAGAGCGUAUCUAUCCUUAGUUUGCGUUUCACAAUCACGGAUAAGUGCUAUCUCUCUUUAACCAAAAGUAGAUAGCUUCUUCCCUCCGAUUUAUCCGAGCCUCUUGAUACGUUUCGUUCUACUACAAAUACGAAACAACAUCAGGAUCAAGACUUAUUUUAUUUUAUUCUAAAUUAUAACUAUAAUUUAACCAGCAUAUUGUAGACUAUCAUAAACACAUUUGUUUAUAACAAAAAGUAAUAAAAACAUGUAGAUUUUUUUAAAUUGGACGUAUUGCUAUUUUUAUCCUAGUCGAAAUUAUGAAACGAAACGUUUUGACAGUCCGUUUGCCAAUAAGCAGUGAUCAGUUUUUUUUGUUUGUUUUUCUAUUGUUUACCUACUAUAUUAGAUGAUGACUUACCUCCAAAACGCUUUAAAACUUUCGUUUAUAAUUCUAAGUGUGUUUAUAAUUAAAGAACUACAGUGAAAUAAAAUGAAUUCUGUAAGUAUCUAUGAACUACAUUGAUAAUAAUAAUUUUACUUUGAAAACUUUGAGUUCAAGUUUAGAAAAUAUAUCUUUUUCAGUCAAGAAAGGCAGCACCCAUGACAAAAGAUGAGACGAUGAUUCUAGCAGAACUUGUGGCGGCGAAAAAACAUUUCAAUAAUAAGGCAACAAAUGCCACAAACAAUAAAUUGAAGGAGCAGGCUUGGCAAACCCUUGUAAAUGAUUUUAAUUCGUCGAUUCGUCGUUUCCCACGAACUCCAUCGCAGCUUCGACUAAAAUGGGAAAACUUAAAGAACGCUACGGCAACAUAAGAAACAACCUUAGUAAGGCUGGAGGUGGUAAGGAUUACAGAUGAAAUUUUGGAUAAAGCAUGCACAUUGUUGUAGGUCACAUAUAAUAUUUUUAACACUUUUACAGCCAAGCGGAAACAAGAUGGAAGAAAAGAAAUGCAAGGCUAGCAUAGGGACAAUGCAUUAGCAGAAUAUCUAAUAGCAAAAAAGAGAUUUGACUUGGAAAAUAAAGAAAAGGAGAUUGUUGUAGCAAAAGUUAAGUUAGAUUUAGAUAAUUUAAAAAAUUAAAAAUUACUUAAAAGGAAUAUUAAAUUUCAUAAAUUAAGUAGACAAUAAUGAUUUUAUGUUAGAUAGUUUUUUAAGUAUAUGUACAAAUUCUAAAUUAAAUAUCUUGCAUGUACUAACUACCAUGUAAUUAUCAUUUUGGAAAAUAAAAAAUAGUCAAAUUA